UGGAAGGAGAGAACCUAUCCCUGCAGGUUG
rnacentral:piRNA from 1 species